rnacentral:lncRNA from 1 species
UAUAUCCUGAGUUAAAUAUUUGUUAUAAGGUGCAAUCAUCUUUUAUCUCUUUUAGUAGACACUCAAUCAGAUUUGUUAGAAAUUUUUGUUGAUAUGAGACCAUAUUGCAGUCCUUCCGACUUUUAUUUUUGUAUUUGCCUUUCCAAUUGGGACUUGUUCAUAAUGAUUCUGUGUUUAUAAUGUUUUUAAUGUUGGCUCUCGUGCUUUUAUUGCUCUUAUUGGUCGGAAAUGAGACCAUAUAUCUCUUUCUUCCUUUUUCCUAAACGCUGUAGAGAUUAUGUUUUCUCCACAACAGCUCAUGAUGAAGACCUUGAAUUGUGUCUGUAGACCUUGUAUUGUGCC